UUUAUACUCCCCCCGCCUCAAAAUGCUUGUCGGAAGAAUGGAUGUAUCUAGAUGUAUUUUAGUUCUAGAUGCAUUUAUUUUUAUGCAUUUCUCCAACAAGUAUUUCCGGACGGAGGGAGUACAUC
rfam:Triticum aestivum genome assembly, contig: Triticum_aestivum_CS42_TGACv1_scaffold_020705_1AS